rnacentral:tRNA from 1 species
AUUAAAGUGCCUGAUUAUAGGGCCGUUUUGAUAGGACGGAAAAUACAAUUUUUUUUGUCUUUAAUG